GUUGCUGAAUAUUGCUGUAGUGAAUCAGUAUUCCAGGACUCCCUGCCAAACAAAAGAUGCUCACUGCAGGAAGAACCCCACUGAAUCACCUCUUCACCCUGCAUGGGACCUUGUCUAUAAAGAUGAGGUCCAUGCAGGGACAUAGACAAU